CCUACGGGAGGCAGCAGUGGGGAAUAUUGCACAAUGGGGGAAACCCUGAUGCAGCGACGCCGCGUGAGUGAAGAAGUAUUUCGGUAUGUAAAGCUCUAUCAGCAGGGAGGAAAAUGACGGUACCUGAUUCAGAAGCCCCGGCUAACUACGUGCCAGCAGCCGCGGUAAUACGUAGGGGGCAAGCGUUAUCCGGAUUUACUGGGGGUAAAGGGAGCGGAGACGGCAGCACAAGGCGGGAGUGAAAUGCCGGGGCUUAACCCCGGAACUGCUUUGGAAACUGUGCAGCUAGAGUGCAGGAGAGGGAAGUGGAAUUCCUGGUGUAGCGGUGAAAUGCGUAGAGAUUAGGAGGAACACCAGUGGCGAAGGCGGCUUACUGGACUGUAACUGACGUUGAGGCUCGAAAGCGUGGGGAGCAAACAGGAUUAGAUACCCCAGUAGUC
rnacentral:rRNA from 1 species